rnacentral:tmRNA from 1 species
GGGGGCGUUACGGAUUCGACAGGGGUAGGUCGAGCUCAGGUUGCGCGUCGAGGUUACGACUCGUAAAACGUUAAUCGCCUAAAUAUAACUGGCAAAACUAACAAUAACUUAGCUUUAGCUGCGUAAGCAGUCUUUAGCUGAUCCUUCCUGCUCUCGCCCGUGGAGCAGAUUGAAGGGUCUCAACUAGAGCGGGCUUUUACGGCGUCCACCGUCUGAGGAUGACCGUAGAAACUAAUCAGACUAGCUAUUUGGAAGCCUGUUGGUAGGCUGAAAAGCUAGCGAAAGAUAAUAUGCCAACUACACGUGUAGACGCCUGAGUGCCGAUACCUUUGGACGUGGGUUCGACUCCCACCGUCUCCACCA